GACCAUGUCAACACUACUACCACAUCAUCAGCCAUUUGACCCACCGAUUUACACAUUUUUAGACUAAUUUUUUGAGUUCUAAUAUUGAUUCUUAAAGUUUUUGAACGUGCUAAAUCCAUUUUUGGGGUUAUUUUUGCAAAAUUCAGACACCAAGAUAUUUUUAUUUUAAUUUCAAGAUAUUUAAAAAGUUUGAAAUUGAGAAAUUUGAUGGCCAGGAUGGAGGAUAUUUUGAUUCAGAAUGGAUUUAAUUCAGCUCUUUUGAAAAAUGCAAAAAUAUCUUCGAUGC
rnacentral:lncRNA from 1 species